rnacentral:tRNA from 2 species
GGGCGGCGGGGGCGCGUACCUGGCGUCCGCCGCCGGUGACGGCGGCGCACCCAGCAGCCCGGGUGCGCCCGGCGGCUCCCCUCCCCCGCUGUCCC